GAUGAACGCUGGCGGCGUGCCUAAUACAUGCAAGUCGAACGAGGUGCUUUUGUAGCAAUACGAGAGUAUCCUAGUGGCGAACGGGUGAGUAACGCGUUGGUGACCUACCCCAAAGUGUGGGAUAACAGUCCGAAAGGAUUGCUAAUACCGCAUGUGGUCUUCGGAUUUAGAAACUGAUGACUAAAGGAGCAAUUCGCUUUGGGAGGGACCUGCGUCCCAUCAGCUAGUUGGUGAGGUAAUGGCUCACCAAGGCUACGACGGGUAGGGGACCUGAGAGGGUGACCCCCCACAAUGGAAC
rnacentral:rRNA from 1 species